GACGAACGCUGGCGGCGUGCUUAACACAUGCAAGUCGAACGGUGAAGGCGGAGCUUGCUCUGCCGGACCAGUGGCGAACGGGUGAGUAACACGUGGGCAACCUGCCCCUCACUUCGGGAUAACUCCGGGAAACCGGGGCUAAUACCGGAUACGACCUCCUUGGGCAUCUUUGGAGGUGGAAAGUUUUUCGGUGAGGGAUGGGCCCGCGGCCUAUCAGCUUGUUGGUGAGGUAGUGGCUCACCCAGGCGACGACGGGUAGCCGGCCUGAGAGGGCGACCGGCCACACUGGGACUGAGACACGGCCCAGACUCCUACGGGAGGCAGCAGUGGGGAAUAUUGCGCAAUGGGCGAAAGCCUGACGCAGCAACGCCGCGUGCGGGAUGAAGGCCUUCGGGUUGUAAACCGCUUUCAGCAGGGAAGAAGCCGCAAGGUGACGGUACCUGCAGAAGAAGCACCGGCUAACUACGUGCCAGCCGCCGCAGUAA
rnacentral:rRNA from 1 species